rnacentral:lncRNA from 10 species
AUAUGCAGAGGUAGAUCAACCUGGAAGCUACUACAAUAGUCCAGGUGAGACAUCAAGAGGACAACUGAGGAAAUAAAGUGGACAUGGAGAAGAGGGAGAAGAUUCAACUAUUUAUACAGUUUGAUGAGGCAGGAUACCAUGCUGUGGAGACCCAUUUGGCAAGAAACUAAAGGCAGCCACCAUCCAAAUGCUAGGAAAAAGCUACAGCUUUCUGUCUGAUGGCAAAGGAGACACUGAAUCCAGUCAACAAUAACAGGAGUUUGAUGGAAGAUCCAUUCCCCAGUGGAGCCUCAGAUAACACCUCAAGUCUGGCCAACAUUCUGACUGUAAACUUAUGAGAGACCCUGAAGCAGAGAAUUCAGCUAAUCCAUGCCUGGGUUUCUGACUCUCAAAAAUUCUGAGAUAAUAAAUGCAUG